GGUUGGGCUAGUUGGGUCAAUAUAUGUGUUUAUAAUGUUAUUAUAAACAGUUAUAAGAUACUCAUGAGGAUUUUAUUAAUGUUCGUAAGCAUCAACAAACAGUUAACAAGUUUCUUAUAAGUUAUUAUAAAUCUCUUAAAGUCUGCUAAUAACUGUAUUAUAAUGAGACUAUUAAUAGAUAUAUCGUCUUAUAAACAAAUAAUAAUGUUAAUAAGCAUCUUGUACACACUUAUAAGGGCCUUAUUACCUAUUAACUAAUGCUUAUUACGAGGACCUUAAUGUAAAGUGUUACCAAUUUUUUUUCUUUCUUAAACUUACUAAGAUUCCCAGGAAACUGAUAAGCCAUCUAAAUCUACACCUUUGUCAUGUAGUCUCGAUUCCAUAGAAAACUAUCGAUGGCUGUGUUAUUCAUUAGAUACUCUCGUACAAUAUCUAAUUUCCUUCUGUGUUCAUUUUUUUUAAGACUUUCUUAUCAUUCUGAUUUGAUUUUUUGGUUCAUCGUAAUAGAACCCCAGCUUCACUUGCACCCACUCCCUGGCUGACAUUUAAACUACAGACAUGGUUGGAAAAAUGUCUAACUGUGGAACAGUUUCAAGCAUUACAUUUAUCACUUUUCAUUCUUUUCUUGGUAGAUCUUUGAUUUUUCUUUGUAUUUAUUUAUUUAGCUAUUUUUUUUUAUUUUUAGUUUUUUGUACCACAUGGUUUUCUGAAUUUACUGGUUUGUGACAUCAGUGCACGGAUUAUUACUUACGACUAGUAACUCUAUGGCUAUUUGUGAGUAUGCAAAGCAUCAAAAAUUUUGUGUGUUUCAUCCAUCUGUAUUUUAAGUCCAAUUCCAUCUUUAAAAAAAUACAUCCUGAACAAUUGAGGCUGGUAUGGGUCGAUAUUAUGCAGUAUGUAGAUUUCCCUAUACAUAAUCACACUACAACUGCCACUGAAGGAAUCGGGGCCGUCAAGCAGUCAGUCCGUUCAAACAGAGACAGAAAUACCUGUUAAUGACUGAAUCGGGGCCGUCGUGCGGUCAGUCCAUCAGACUAUUAAACAGUAACAACUAUAACACAACCGCGUCAUCCAAUGACGUCUUCAUGUAAAAACCAGUAACACAAUCUCGUCAUCCAAUGACAUCUUUUACAAAACCCAGAGGUACCGUACUGCUGAAGUCUGAAUCUGGGCCGUCAAGCUGUCAGUCUGUCAGACAACCAGACAGUAGCACCUAUUACUUCAAUAUUUAUCGACACGUCCUCCAAGGACUUCAUUAUCUGUUUCUUGUCUCUCUGGACACCUAUAUUCACACUGUCCCUCUACUGCAAGUAGGCCCACUCUAAUAUUGAUUAAUAUCGUGUAGCAAUCAAGACAACCCUGGGUGCGAAACUCACACAUUCCUCACAGGAAAGUUUCCUUUUCUGGUCCCAGGACACAGGAUAUAAAUCUUUCCAGACUUUUUUGCACUUUCAGGUUACCUAAGUGACCCGACCGGAGGUUGACUAAACCUCUGACUCUUCACGAUUGGUCAAUUCGGAGACGGAGAUAGAGUUUUUAUUACCUUUCGAACUGACUCCAUCGCUGACCAUCUAAAUAAACAAUAACGCCUCAACCCAGAUCUCCCAUUUGAGAUUUACCGUCUUAAAGUGUGUGAACAUUCUUUGGUUUCUUUAGACCAACAGCUUUUCAGACUGUUUCAUGAACUUUAAGAGUUAAAUUUAUAGACUGUGACUCAUAACUUUAUUCUAAGUAACAGAAAUGGUUUAGAAAUGUUUUGGUUUAUAUUUUGGUAUAUUUAGUAUUUUAACCAUUAGGUGGUUAUAAUAUCAGUGAAUAAUCUGAAUGUAAGUAUUUAGAAUCCAUUAUUAAUCAUGAUGACGUUCAGUCACAUGUAUUUACUCUUUUGUUGUUCACAGUUUCUAUGUGUUACUAUCUGUUGCAUUUCAGAGUAAUUUAGCAUGUUCAAUGUGAUACUUAAAACAUAAUGAGAAUGUUUGAUGUGAUCCUACAUUUCAUUCAUAUGUGUUUAGUAUCAAAUUAUUUAUCAUGAAACCAAGCAUUCAAUGAUAUUAAUCAUAGUGAGUGAGUAUCAGAUCUGACUCUUUUACCAGCCAAAAGUAUAAGUUAGAUCAAAUAAUCAGAGAUCCGAGGUCUCCUCUGCUUGGAGACCACACGACCCUCCUCCUCUUUCUCCUCACGCCCCCCCCCCCCCCCCCUGCUGUAGGCGCCCCUGCUUGCUCUGAAGGUGCUGCACAGAGGGUGACAGACUGUGUGAGAUGAGGCGGGGAGAGAGUCGCGGGGGGACAGCUCUGCUCUGUGUACGCAUGUCAGCAUAUCAGUGGGAGCGCGGAUACGUCAUUUUGUAGUUUUUUAAUCAUUUCUGGAGUCGCGGUGAAUGAAAUCACCAUACCCGUCUGCCUCUGAUAGGCAAGUAAAGCGCUCGGGUUCAUGCUGGGAUCUUGCUACGUGCUUGAUGAGCUUCAUGAGUAAAGUAAACAAUGACUGAGGCAGAGAGCAGCUUCAGAGGAGAAACAUCCAGCAGUGUGAACAACCUCUUCAUAUGGAGUGCUUUGGCUCACACUAUCAGCGUUAUCUGUGAGUGUUGCAUGACUUUGGGUGAGAACAGAGAUGAACACACUGUCAGCCAUGUAUUUAUUUAUUCAUUUUUUAAUUUUUAGUUCUGCUUUUGUACUGGCACUAUACUGGGGCAGCUGUUUACCCUUUCAACACCUUAUUUUCUAUAUUUACAUUUGUAUUGAAUGGACACUUUAUCAUGACUGCCACUUGUUUUACAGAAAGCAAAUUAUUUGUCAUUCUCCAGUGCAGAGUCUUUACUUUUAUUUAUACAGCCGCUUUAUUUCAUUUGAGUUUGUUCAAGGUUUUCAAAAAUGUGAUGAAGGUUCGCAAAACUAAAAGAGAGCUUUCUUGAAAGCCACAUGUUUAAGCUCUCAAAUACUUUUUGAAUUUUGUUUCUAUCUACUACAGAGGCCGAGAUAGCAGCUUUUUUGUAAACCUCAACACUUCAGAAAACCUCAGGAUCUGGGGGCCCUUCUCAAAAUGGCCCUCAGGAUUGUGUUUUUUUCUAUUGAAGGAUUUCUGCAAUUGAGAAAUAUAUUAUUUUUGUUGUUAUAAUAAUAAUAAUAAUACAUAAUAAUACAAAGCUAUCUGUUCAAAAUUCUAUCUCUUUUUGUGUUUGUGUGUCUGUGUGUGUGUGUGUGUGUGUGGAGGGGGGGGGGGGGGGGGGGGUCGCCCGGGGAGUAAUUUGGUCUAGAACCGCCACUGGCUGCGGGAUGUAUAUAUGAGGGAGAAAAGGAGGAAGAAGGAAGGUGGGAGAAGCGAGUUGCAUCCUGCGACCUUCGUGACUGCAGCUUUGGACCCGGUGUGAACACACGCGACGGGAAUACAACGACCAACGCGACUAGGUCGCUUCAGGUCGCGUUUGGUCUGAACGCGGCUUAACACUGAAGUAUCUGAGGUAUUUAAGUGACACAGCUCCACCACUCUCAAGGCUGACAGGACUGGCUAAAGAAACUCAUUCUAACAGGCUGUCAAGUAGCUUCGUUUCAAACAUUUUUACCUUGACUUUGUUAGCAUUCACUUACAUUAUGAUCCUGAUCCUGCUCCUGAUAUAGAAACAACCAAAACAACAUCACAUCCUGGUAAGUUGAGUGAAAUUCAUGGACAUUUCAGAAAGUGUUUUUCUGAUUUGUGAUGCAACGAAAGACAAAGCAAUUUUUCAGUGAAAUGACAUUUUAUUGCAAUUGUGUCAGGGAGAACUUGCAAACAAUAUGGCGUAUUCAUUAAUAUCAGUUCAUUCCGGAGCAGGCGAUUGCCUCCUGGUUGUGCGCGCACCUAGUAUUGUUUGUACACAAGAAACCCGUCUAUAAGGAAGUAUGACCAUAAUUUCUAUUUUGUUAACUUAAAGGCCACCAAUGCAGUAAUCAGACAGAGAACUAGAGGGAGGUUAAAGUGAAGAAAAUUAUAGAAAGAUGGCCCCAGUCAGUGACAGUAUUCCCCUCAGACCAUCAACAUCAGCUUAGAGUUCAGUCGCACCAGCAGUGAUUGAUAACGAGAAGGUUGAUCACACAGAAAUAAACAAUGGUUUUUUGUCAUAACAAUAGGGUUGCUGUAAUAUUGUGUGUACUUUAUACUCAAUAAAUGGAAAAAUACAACCUGUAAGUUAAAUAUAGUAAAAUAUAUUGCCCAGUUGCAUGUUAUUUUGUGUAAUUAUAUAAUGUAAUCAUUAAAAUUAUUUUUUUUUCAGAAUGCUGUUUUUAUGUCAACCUAGCUUUGUAAAAGAUUCUGAAGAUGUUUCUCUACAUGGUCAAACAUAUUCAACACUGACAUGGAUCAAACUUUUCUACUUUUAAGUAGACUGAGAGUAUAUCUGUAUCUGCAGGUAAAAUGCCAACUCACAACAGGUCUGGCUGGAAUUGAUAACUUUAUUGUUGUUGUAAUAAAGUUUGUAAUAUAAAUUUGACAGUAAAGUAUAUACCACUCAAGUGUCUUACAUAGGAUUGUGAAAUGGAAUUCAAAAAUCACAUAAUCAAUGACCGCUAAUGAAAAUGUUCCAUGCACAAUAUUCUCCUGUUUUCUGGAAAAGUCAAUAUUAUGAAUGCUUUUCUGGAAUUCCAGUCCAUAGAAUAUUGACUAUGUUGUUGUUGUUUGUUAAAUGUUGCAAAAAAAAAAGUUACCUGGAUCAGUCAGCCAACGUUUUAUGGCUGUUGCAUAUUAAUUAUGAUUAAGUUUAUUUUAUUUUAAAAUUAACAUUAAUAUCCAAACUCAAGUUUGGAUUCAGUCUUGAUCUUGGUAAGUCUGUUCUUAAUUUUAAAAGGGACCUGCCAAAAAAAUGUAAUUUUUUGUAUUUUUUGUGUCAGACAUUGGCGUCGUUAGGCCUAUUUAAGGGGGGCUGAAGCCCCCCUAAAAUAUUCUUUAGCCCCCCCCAAAUUUUUUUUUUUUUUUUUUUUUUUUAAAUAUAUAUAUAUAUUUUACAAAAAAGUGCAGACAAAUUCAAUACAAAGACGCAGGAAUAUGAGUUUAAAUAAAUAAUAAUAUAACAUGUCAUUAUUCACUUAAAUAUGAUCACAAAUCAUUUGGUUUCCCCUGACUUCACUGUGUAAGGUGGAGAGCCUUCGUCAGCGCUUAGUUAUUCAAUCCGUUCCACUUGUUGAUAUAGAGAACGCCCACAUUACUAAAAAUCCAGUCCGCGUUUUCACUGCUGCCAGCAGCAGCACCUACAUGCUCCCUGCACACAGUCACAGCGAGAUGGUCACGUCACGAGCCAGGCAGAGAGCAGCAUCAUGGACAUACACAAGUUUUUCAAAAAAGUAAGUCUUUAUAGCUGCUGGUAGUAACAAUAAGCUCCAGCUAACAGCAAAUAGUCCCAUGUAAUUUAUGAACCAGGUGCUCCCCAUUUUGAGAAAUAAAAACCUGGCUAUCACACCAAGUUAAAUUGUUAGCAUGAUGUUGAUUUCUGUCACUUGUUUUAUCUCUGAAAAAAGCGAGCUGAGCUCAUUCACGUAUGAUUAUCAUCAGUGGAUAAUAAUAAUGCACUAAUAAUACUCACCCCACCAUCCCCACUGACCUGUAGGAGUCAGGACAGAGGAGCACAGCAAGUGAGAGGGGAGACACCUCUACUGGAGAGGUGAGUCUAAAAGAAUUCACAGGAGUGACGCAGACAGUCUGAUCAGAAUUUUAUGGAACUCAAUAUGGAUAUGAAAUAUGAAAUUUCAGUCAUGCACCAUAUAAGACUUAUUUCAUUUGAGUUUUUAUUUAAGAGAGUCAAGAUUAGAAAGUGGAGAGAGCCAAGAGAUAAAUUAGCCUGACCGAAAUAUUUUUGGGGAUUCUAUUUUAAUAUUACUUUAAGUCAAGUAAUUUAGUAAUAUUUUUCAGGGCUUUAAUUUGCAACCAUUUUAAAAUGUAAUCUGUGUAACAUCUUACUAUUUGGGAGCAAAAAAUUACUGUGGUGUUUGAGCUUAAGUCAUGACAUUAGCCUCUAUGUUGGAUUAGUUAUUAAUUCAAUGUAUUUCAAUGUAUCUUGGAGGGUCAGGCAGAAGGAAAGGCUGAGGAGCUGCAGCAAAUGGCAGAGGAAGCUGAGAGAUGAGAGCAAACAGGCCAAGAGAGGGAAAAUAAUGAAGCAGCUGCAGCAACUCAUUCCACUUCAGGGUUUGAUUUAGGUGACAAAGACACAGGGCCCAGACAGGUCAAGCUGAAGAGCUACCCACAAGAUAGUUUUGGUACACAGAAGCGAGCAUUUCACUACAGCUGGUUUGAAAAGCACAACUGGUUAGGAUAUUCAGUCAACCAGAAUACAGCUUUCUGUUUCCCAUGUAGAGUGUUUGGCAAAAACAUAAAACAUGAUAGUUUGGUCAGUAGUGGUUGCAAGAACUGAAAAAAAAACAGACUGAAAUAAAACAAAAAAACUCCUGGUGGCCUGAGACUACAUCUUAGUUAAAUCCGUCCAAAAAAGCUGAAAAGCAAUUUCUCAGUCUUUGUUUUCUGUCUGUGAAAUUUUGUGCUCGCUCACUACGUUCACUCACAUCCUGUUCAUCUCUUGGGGGCUAAGCCCCCCCUGUCCUUAAAACCUAGUGGCGCCCCUGGUGUCAGAUAAGGUCCAUAUUAUGUUCGUCUUCUGUUGUAAAUGUGAAAACAAACCGUUACGUUGUUUGCAUUCUGUAAAGGUUUAAAUAAAGGAACGAGUAAACCAGGCCAAUUGAAAAAGCAGGUCCAUCUGACGUUGCGUUGACAUUGCUCAUUAUUAUUCACGAGCGCAUCCUCGGUGAGCCGCGCCCACUCUCUCAUUCUCGUACUCAGUCACAGCCAGAGCGAGACCCAGCUACCACUGUAUCCGCUAUGGGUCUCUUCCAAACGACCGGUGUUUCCUUCGGUUCACUGCCAGGAAAAUGAACUUAAAGCUGGACAGAAUGAAUUAGAAAACACCGCUGGAGAUCUCCGGCUUCUUCCUCAACUUCCACCUCCUCUUCGGACUCGGGGUCUAAAAUAUAUGGUUUAAUACCUGCCGUUUUUAGCCUUUAGCAUAAGGUGACCAGACGUCCCCGAUUUCCGGGGACAGUCCCCGUAUUGGAUGACCUGUCCUAGGCAAAAGCUGUCCCCGAAAAUGUCCCCGAUUUGAGCGUUUCAUGAAUGAGAGCAAAAAUGUUGCGUGUGGGCUCAAACAACGGUUAUUACAGUAGCCGAAUAGGUAGGAAGCACAAGUAAGCAGUGCUGAACAACAGUUCUUACGGAGUUAUUACAAGGGGCAUGCGCUGCUACUAAAUAGUACCGAGAUUUUGUCUGUGAUCACACAGCCCCUGCACCGCCGCCGGCGCUGCUACUCCUUGCAGUGAGUUGGUUAAGUGACAGAAAUCAUUGCGGUAGUUGUUGAAAUUAUAGAAAAUGUGGUGAACCUUGACUUGUUAGAUAAACACUGGAAGAGAUGGGACAACAUUAAACAUGAUAUGUAGUUUUUGCCUGUUUUAGUCAUGUUUAAGUUCUUCGAAGCCAGCAGUUAAUACAUAAAGUUUAGCAAUCACAAUAUUCCUGCAAGUGUAAAUAGAACAAUGGUACACUGCAUUUUAUAAAGUACAUAAUUUGCUUUUAUAAACAUUUUACCUACUGUGCAAACUUUUGGCAACUUUGGGUUGCUAAAAAAUUGGUUGUGACUCUUAGGAGAACCAUGCAUCAAAUUUAACAACUGAUAAAAGGACUGAAAGAUGUGAUGGUAUGGCCCCUGCUGACAUCUAGGCCAGAUGUCAUUCCACUUUUUUUUUUCCAAAAUGGCUGACAUGAAGUUCACACUGCAGGUAAGUCAGUAAUUUAGUUAGAUUUGUGACUUAAAUUUUUUAAUUGUACAUACAUCUUUCGUGACUAAGCUGGUUCUUUUUUCCUUUACCAAGAAUGUAAUCUGCAUAUUACUUCACCACAAUAAGUUAUCCCUUUUUAAAAGAAUUACAUUGAUUUUUUUAAAGAUGCUUCUGGACAAAAUCACAUGGCCAACUGAGGACAGUGAUGAUGAAGACUUUGAAAUUAAGUCCACGUGCCGCAUCACUGGCUUUCUAAGGAUGUUCAUCGAAACGGGUAUAAAUACCUUAUUUGGCUAACCCUUUACCAAUGCUUCUAUGUGUCUUGGACAGAUAAAAAUUAAGUUUAUCUUAAUGUUGUCUUGAACUCUCUUAUUACUUUUAGCUCCAUCUGGUACACGAGCUCAGCUGCUGACGUUCUCAGUUGCCUCGGAGAAGCUACCCCCUGAACUGAAAGUGGAAAUUUCUGGUGGAACCCUUCCUACAUCCACCACAUGCUUUGAAACACUUAAU